UAACACCUGGAAACAGAUGCUAAUACCGGAUAACAACAGAUGAUGCCUAUCAACUGUUUAAAAGAUGGUUCUGCUAUCACUCUUNGGAUGGACCUGCGGUGCAUUAGCUAGUUGGUAGGGUAACGGCCUACCAAGGCGAUGAUGCAUAGCCGAGUUGAGAGACUGAUCGGCCACAUUGGUACUGAGACGACGGCCCAAACUCCUACGGGAGGCAGCAGCC
rnacentral:rRNA from 1 species